rnacentral:lncRNA from 1 species
GUUGUGCUGUCAGAGAUGAUCCGGUGUCCUGGGGGAUUUUAAAGCUGUUCUUUUAGUGAAAAAUGUGACUGGCAAGAAGUUUGCUUUUUACUACCUUCAAGUUUCCCUCCUUCCUUUGGCCACCAGGUAAGAAGAUGGUGCAGGAUGUAGAAACACACACUGGUCCCCGCUGGAUUUAAUGAGUACAGUCUUAAAACUAAUUUUGUACAAAUUUAUCACUCCAUUUCAUUUCAUUUUUUUUUUUUUUUUAGUCCAUCACGAAGCACGCAGAGCCCUCGGAUGCUGCCAAAGCACACAAGUUAUACAAGCGGGCAUGUCGCGGGCUGACUCGGUGACUCAGGGCUUGGCAACUGCCCUACAAACAGAGCUACUGAGUUGGGUUGGGAUCUGGGGAACCACAGGACUCUCCUGCUUGCACAGCUCGCUUGCAAAGCUCGGCUCUGGAGAAUUACUAGAGAGUGAAAACGUGACCAAAACGUGUGAAUUGCUAACUGAGUCGACAAAUUCGAGGAGGGUUUAGAAAUCUGAUGGACUCCAGCUCCUGCGCCAGACAUCACUGUCACCGCUGCUGGUCACCUAAAAAAACCCCCAACCUCCAAUGUCGGGCAGAUAUUGAGGAUGCAGUAGGAACAUUGUUUGUUGACUUUCUGGACCUGGGGACUCCAUCACCUCUCCCUGGAGAGGAGGGAAAGGGUAUCUGUGCUCAGUUUGGUUCAACACUGGAAUUUCAGGUAGAAAUUGCAGGUGAGACCUCAGUUUAUGUGUAUUUUCACCUCCCAUUCAUGACUCUUGACAGUUUGUCACACGCUCUGGGGCAGGGUUUAUCGUUAAUUUGUGCCCAAGUCCAUGAAACUAACAUUUUCUUCUGCAUUUCCUCCAGAGCUGGGCAGCUCAGAAGACCAAAUACAUUUGGAGAUAAACUUUAG